AUUGAACGCUGGCGGCGUGCUUAACACAUGCAAGUCGAACGGAGUGGCGAACGGGUGAGUAUUACGUGAGUAACCUGCCCUCAACUGUGGGAUAAGCCUGGGAAACGGGGUCUAAUACUGCAUAGUUGGGGAGGGGCUCGUGGCCUAUCAGCUUGUUGGUGGGGUGAUGGCCUACAACGGCGGUGACGGGUCGCCGGCCUGAGAGGGUGGUUGGCCACAGUGGGAAUGGGAAACGGACCAGACUCCUACGGGAGGCAGCAGUGGGGGAUGUUGCGAAAUGGGCGCGAUCCUGAUGCAGCGACGCCGCGUGAGGGAUGAGGGCUUGCGGGUUGUAAACCUCUUUCGGUACAGAGCGGGUAUGUGCAGAAGAAGCGCCGGCUAACUACGUGCCAGCAGCCGCGGUAAUAC
rnacentral:rRNA from 1 species